rnacentral:rRNA from 1 species
CAGCAGCCACGGUAAUACGAAGGGGGCUAGCGUUGUUCGGAAUUACUGGGCGUAAAGCGCACGUAGGCGGAUUUUUAAGUCAGGGGUGAAAUCCCGAGGCUCAACCUCGGAACUGCCUUUGAUACUGGAGAUCUUGAGUUCGGAAGAGGUUGGUGGAACAGCUAGCGUAGAGGUGAAAUUCGUAGAUAUUAGCUAGAACACCAGUGGCGAAGGCGGCCAACUGGUCCGAUACUGACGCUGAGGUGCGAAAGCGUGGGGAGCAAACAGGAUUAGAUACCCCAGUAGUCCCUGUCUCUUAUAC